GUGUUCACAUCUGCAGCACAUAUACUAAAAAUGGAAUAGUACAGAUUAGCGUGGCCCCUAGAAUGACAUGCAAAUUCAUGAAGUGUUCCAUAUUAAA
ensembl:snRNA U6 U6 spliceosomal RNA